AUGCUCAGUUACUCCCUGUUUCCAGAGUAGAAGAGGAAAAGAGCUUUACCUAGAGCAAGAAAAUAGAAAAGGCUUUUUAGCACUGAGAAGUGUUCAUUCCUGAGAAAAGAAAGACAAAGAAUGGCUUAAUCACUGACUGUCAAAUAAAUGAAGGCCUAUCAACUGGAGAGAAACUGUUAGAUAAAAGAGAGAGAGAACUAAAACAAAAGAUCUACCCUAGAAGGAAGCACCAUUUUGAUUCUAAAGAUUGUGGGAGUCUCUUGGGCUCAUUGUUCUUGAAAAACUAUCUGUGGCAGUUCUUUGAGGCCUGGGAUUAAAAGGUGUUUCUCCAAGGAGAACUUGUUAGUGAUCUGCCUGGUGCCUAUACCAAAUUUUGGAGGUUCCCUGGAGUACUCAACCUGCAAAUCAUCUCAGAGAAAACAGAAAUGGAAAUAAUAUGAAGAUUCCUAGAGAGAAAACAAAGAGAUGGCAGAGAUAGCAUCUCAUUCAGGAAGUUUCAAACUGAAAGGGUCUGAGUGAGGACAGCUGCUACAGAAUUCCAUGACCUCUGCAAGACUUUCUGCCCUUUGAAGGAGAUGAUGGCCAGAUAUCAGCUUGAAAAUCAUGGCAAGCUCAGUUUGGCUGAAGAAGGAAGAAAGAAUGCCCAUGGCAAAACAAACAAACAAAUAAACCACACAAUCUGACACAUUGAUGAAUAAGCAAAGGCUUCGAUAUACAGAACUGCUCUUCCACACAGAUUCUCUUUUAUUCCUGGAAACUACUGGACACCCAAAUGAAAAAAAAAUUUCUCCCUCCUAACAUGACUCAUCACUUUAGAUCAAUCUGCUAACUGGUACUCUUCCAUUGCCAUAAAAUAGUGAAGGGAGGAUUUGAUGACAGAAAACCUGGGUUCAAGUAAAUAUGCCAUUUCUGGCUGUGUGAUUUUAGGCAAGACACUUAACCUCUCUGAGUUUAGCUUUCUUGUGGGUAAAAUACAGAAAAUGGCAACAUAUAUCAGUUAUGAUAAUUAAUUGAGCUAAUGUAUGUGAAGGUGUAUUUUGCCUCUAGAUGGUCAUGCAGUUUAGGACAUUGUGUCUUCGAAUGGGCUAAGGAGGAGAAGAAAGUGAAGAGAAUGCUGCUAAUGAAUAAAGCUGCUUCUAAACCCCAUCCACUCUGCAGGAACACACAAAUACAUCCAGAUUUAUGCAGACUGGUGUCAGGGGCUGCAUUCAUUGGCCAAUUUAAAUAAUUUUAUAUCUUAAAAUAAUUAUGGCAUUUGUAGUAGUGUUUUCCAACACAUAUGAGGUCUAAAA
rnacentral:lncRNA from 1 species